rnacentral:lncRNA from 1 species
GACAUUUAUUUUUGACUAGUUUUAUAUAUUUUCAAGUAUUUAAACCACUUAAAAGUAUCAUAUAUUAUGGAUGUUUUUAUGUACAUUAAAUCUAAAAAUAAUUAAUAUAUAUAAGUAUAUAAAUCUAUUUUGGAUACAUUUAAAUACCUGAAAUACUUUGAUUCGGAUCGGAUUAGGUUUCAGUUCUCUAAAUAUCAAAAUUUUGAAUAAUUCAGAUAUUUCAUUAAUUUCGAUUCGAGUUUAGCAACAUAUUUUUGAAAAAUAUAUCCGCGCGGGCGUGCGAGUCAAAAUCUAGUUAAAAUUAUAAUUUGGAAAACGGAAAUCAAUUGACGAAAAAAAGAAAUCAUUACUUGACAUGACUUCAGUGUGGAUCUAACAUAUAUGUUGUCUUAAGCUAAAUUUUAAAUCUUUGCCCUUAUAUAUUU